AUGAACGCUAGCGGCAGGCCUAAUACAUGCAAGUCGAACGGGUGGUCGCAAGACCACUAGUGGCGCACGGGUGCGUAACGCGUAACCAACCUGCCCCGAUCUGGGGGAUAGCCCGCCGAAAGGCGGAUUAAUACCGCAUAUACCCGCAGCCUGGCAUCAGGCAACGGGGAAAGAUUUAUUGGAUCGGGAUGGGGUUGCGUGACAUUAGCUAGUUGGCGGGGUAAGGGCCCACCAAGGCGACGAUGUCUAGGGGACCUGAGAGGGUGAUCCCCCACACUGGCACUGAGAUACGGGCCAGACUCCUACGGGAGGCAGCAGUAGGGAAUAUUGGGCAAUGGGCGAGAGCCUGACCCAGCCAGGCCGCGUGCCGGAUGAAGGCCUUCUGGGUUGUAAACGGCUUUUCUCAGGGAAGAAAAAGACCUUGCGAGGUACACUGACGGUACCUGAGGAAUAAGCACCGGCUAACUCCGUG
rnacentral:rRNA from 1 species